rnacentral:rRNA from 1 species
UACGUAGGGGGCAAGCGUUGUCCGGAAUCAUUGGGCGUAAAGAGCGUGUAGGCGGUCCGGUAAGUCGGCUGUGAAAGUCCAAGGCUCAACCUUGGGAUGCCGGUCGAUACUGCCGGACUAGAGUUCGGAAGAGGCGAGUGGAAUUCCCGGUGUAGCGGUGAAAUGCGCAGAUAUCAGGAGGAACACCAAUUGCGAAGGCAGCUCGCUGGGACGUUACUGACGCUGGAGACGCGAAAGCGUGGGGAGCAAACAGG